ACCGGGGAAAAUCCCCGCGCGUUUGAGCAGAGAGUGCUGGGCGGAAACGUCGCUCCCUUUCUCUCCGGAAGUUCUCUUUUGGAGUCGAAGACACUCGCGAUCUUUUAAACAGUCAUUUAAUCAGUCCGGACGCAACGGAUGACACAGAACGGGGUUUACUCUCGAGC
rnacentral:RNase_MRP_RNA from 1 species